UACGAGGGGGGCAAGCGUUGUUCGGAAUUAUUGGGCGUAAAGGGCGCGUAGGCGGUGCGGUAAGUCACCUGUGAAACUCUGGGCUCAACUCAGAGCCUGCAGGCGAAACUGCCGUGCUGGAGUGUGGGAGAGGUGCGUGGAAUUCCCGGUGUAGCGGUGAAAUGCGUAGAUAUCUGGAGGAACACCGGUGGCGAAGGCGGCAUCCUGGACCAACACUGACGCUGAGGCGCGGAAAGCUAAGGGGGAGCAAACAGGGAUUAAGAAACCCCC
rnacentral:rRNA from 1 species